GACGAACGCUGGCGGCGUGCUUAACACAUGCAAGUCGAACGGAAAGGCUCCAGCUUGCUGGAGUGCUCGAGUGGCGAACGGGUGAGUAACACGUGGGCAAUCUGCCCUGCACUCUGGGAUAAGCCGGGGAAACUGGGUCUAAUACCGGAUAGGACCUUUCUCCUCAUGGGGUUGGGUGGAAAGUUUUUCGGUGCAGGAUGAGCCCGCGGCCUAUCAGCUUGUUGGGGGGGUAAUGGCCUACCAAGGCGACGACGGGUAGCCGGCCUGAGAGGGUGAUCGGCCACAUUGGCACUGAGAUACGCCCCCGACUCCUACGGGAGCCAGCAGUGGGGAAUAUUGCACGAUUGGCGAAAGCCUGAUGCAGCGACUCCGCGUGAGGGAUGACGGCCUUCGGGUUCUCAGCCUCUUUCAGUAGGGACGAAGCGCAAGUGACGGUACCUGCAGAAGAAGCACCGGCUAACUACGUG
rnacentral:rRNA from 1 species